ACCAAGGUGCCUGAUAUUGAAGGACUACCUUGAUGAGGUAGGAAAGGACACGUUCCCCCUGGUA
rnacentral:tRNA from 1 species